UCGAGCGCGAAAGUACUUCGGUAUGAGUAGAGCGGCGGACGGGUGAGUAACGCGUACGAAUCUACCUAGUAGUGGGGGACAACAGCCGGAAACGGCUGCUAAUACCGCAUACGCCCUACGGGGGAAAGCGGGGGACCUUCGGGCCUCGUGCUAUUAGAUGAGCGUGCGUAAGAUUAGCUAGUUGGUGAGGUAAUGGCUCACCAAGGCGACGAUCUUUAGCUGUUCUGAGAGGAUGAUCAGCCACACCGGGACUGAGACACGGCCCGGACUCCUACGGGAGGCAGCAGUGGGGAAUAUUGCGCAAUGGGCGAAAGCCUGACGCAGCCAUGCCGCGUGUGUGAAGAAGGCCUUCGGGUUGUAAAGCACUUUCAAUUGGGAGGAAAGGUUCAAGUUUAAUACGCUUGAACUGUGACGUUACCUUUAGAAGAAGCACCGGCUAACUCCGUGCCAGCAGCCGCGGUAAUACGGAGGGUGCAAGCGUUAAUCGGAAUUACUGGGCGUAAAGCGCGCGUAGGCGGUAUGUUAAGUCGGAUGUGAAAGCCCCGGGCUCAACCUGGGAACUGCACCCGAUACUGGCAAACUAGAGUACGAGAGAGGGGGGUAGAAUUCCAUGUGUAGCGGUGAAAUGCGUAGAUAUAUG
rnacentral:rRNA from 1 species